rfam:Oligotropha carboxidovorans OM5, complete genome.
UACUUAUCCCGUGGUGAUUUGGGCCGGCCGGCUUGCAGCCACGUAAAAUAAGUCGCUAAACAGGCCGCGGACCUUUGAGC